UACGUAGGGUGCGAGCGUUGUCCGGAAUUAUUGGGCGUAAAGGGCUCGUAGGCGGUUUGUCGCGUCGGGAGUGAAAAUCCAGGGCUUAACUCUGGACUGGCUUUCGAUACGGGCAGACUAGAGGUAUGCAGGGGAGAACGGAAUUCCUGGUGUAGCGGUGAAAUGCGCAGAUAUCAGGAGGAACACCGGUGGCGAAGGCGGUUCUCUGGGCAUUACCUGACGCUGAGGAGUGAAAGUGUGGGGAGCGAACAGG
rnacentral:rRNA from 1 species